rnacentral:rRNA from 1 species
AUUGAACGCUGGCGGCAUGCCUUACACAUGCAAGUCGAACGGCAGCACGGGAGCAAUCCUGGUGGCGAGUGGCGAACGGGUGAGUAAUAUAUCGGAACGUGCCCAGUCGUGGGGAUAACGUAGCGAAAGCUACGCUAAUACCGCAUACGAUCUAUGGAUGAAAGCGGGGGAUCGCAAGACCUCGCGCGAUUGGAGCGGCCGAUAUCAGAUUAGGUAGUUGGUGAGGUAAAGGCUCGCCAAGCCGACGAUCUGUAGCUGGUCUGAGAGGACGACCAGCCACACUGGGACUGAGACACGGCCCAGACUCCUACGGGAGGCAGCAGUGGGGAAUUUUGGACAAUGGGCGCAAGCCUGAUCCAGCAAUGCCGCGUGCAGGAUGAAGGCCUUCGGGUUGUAACGUAGUC